GGAAAACUUAAAGUUAAAUUUGCAGUCACAUCACAAUGCUAACCUCUGGAUGAACACUGUUGGAUUGAUGGCCUGGUUUCUGCAGAUCUUUUACAAGUUGAUAUUUUAGUUUUGUCCUUGGAGUGGGAAGAUCUUCUGAGAACCGGACCUCGUGGUUCUUCAUUAAUAAGCAGCAGCUCAGAAAGAUUAGAAGGAGCUCGGCUACGAAGAGACGUAAAAACUUUAAACAGGAUCCUUCACCGCGGCGUCAUCUUCAUCAUCUCUCACCGAGGACAGAAUCUUCCUCCUCCUCUGUUCCUGCACGUGUUGGAUUAUUACGGCUCUAUCUACAGCUCAUACCUCCCCAUUCAGAUUCUUCUCUCUCUUCCUCUCUUUCUUGCAUAAAUGCCAGCUCCCCCACCUGAAAGCCUUUUGCGCUGAUUUACGAGCAGAGUGCUGUGCUUUGGACCCGGGCCAAGGAAAUGCACUUUGGGAUUAUCGAGAGGUUUAACAGGAAUGAGGUGUGAAUUACAAUCUUGCAGCUUUAACCCUGCUGCCAGCCUCUGCAGACCUUCAGCCUCAUCUUCAUCAGACCUCGCCAAUGAUUCCUCACCUCAGAAGCAGCCGGAUACUCAAGGAAGAAGGAAUUUUUCAUUUUUAAAGUUCUAAAAUUUACUGGUGUAUAUGGCAGUUUUACUUUGAAUUCGUAGGAAUUUGCUAGUGCACGUUGGACCUGCUUUUCUUGGUUUAGAUUUAAUGUAAACAGGAAAAAAUACCUUAAAAGAAAGUAAAGAUUAAACUGCUGCUUACAAAGAAAAAAAACUGUGGAAAGAGCUGAGAACUCCUUCUCAACCAAAUGAUGCAUUCACUGACCAAGAAGAACCCAGGUUUCCGUUAUUCAACUUUAACAAAUUUAAUUAAAAAUAAUAAAUCAAAUAAACGGCACAAAGGGCCGGAUUUCAGGAGUCAGAAAAUCUGGG